rnacentral:rRNA from 1 species
CAGUAGCCGCGGGAAUACAGAGGGUGCGAGCGUUAAUCGGAUUUACUGGGCGUAAAGCGUGCGUAGGCGGCUUUUUAAGUCGGAUGUGAAAUCCCUGAGCUUAACUUAGGAAUUGCAUUCGAUACUGGGAAGCUAGAGUAUGGGAGAGGAUGGUAUAAUUCCAGGUGUAGCGGUGAAAUGCGUAGAGAUCUGGAGGAAUACCGAUGGCGAAGGCAGCCAUCUGGCCUAAUACUGACGCUGAGGUACGAAAGCAUGGGGAGCAAACAGGAUUAGAGACCCCUGUAGUCCCUGUCUCUUAUAA